rnacentral:lncRNA from 1 species
CCCUAUCCCACCCCAUCCCAUCCCAUCCCAUCCCACCCCAUCUCACCCCAUCCCACCCCAUCCAAAGGUAUGUAUUCUUGGGCUGCUACUGAACCUCUUAGCUUCUGUCUUCUCACCUAUAAAAGGCGAAUUGGCAAGGUCAUCCCCUUUGGCAGGAAGGUUCGUGAUAUGGACCCUUGGCUGAAAUUUGAAGGUGAAAAAGGACGGCUCCGUUCCUAUUUAUGGUGUGGGAGUGACUUUCCUUCACCACUAGCCUGGGUGAAGUUUAAUGACUGACCAAGAGGGAAGUAAUUCAUUCUUCCUGUCAUCCUAUUUUAUUCCCCUGCCCCUCACCUUGUGCUCUCUUUUCCUGCUCAGCUCCUAUUCUGAUCUUUCUUUGUCAAGGAUGUUUCUCAUGAUUAAGUGCUUAUAUCUUCUUCUCCCCAGCAUAUUUGUUUGGAUAGAUUUAGGACAGAUAAAAUUGCUGAAAAUUGCCUGGUUUCUGUUUUCUCUAGAG